GGUAGUAGCUCAGGGGCAGAGCGCUUGCCUUGCAGGCACGAGACCCUGGGUUCAAUUCUCAGCACCA
rnacentral:tRNA from 1 species